CCAGACUCCUACGGGAGGCAGCAGUGGGGAAUAUUGGGCAAUGGGCGCAAGCCUGACCCAGCAACGCCGCGUGAAGGAAGAAGGCUUUCGGGUUGUAAACUUCUUUUCUCAGGGACGAAGAAAGUGACGGUUCCUGAGGAAUAAGCCACGGCUAACUACGUGCCAGCAGCCGCGGUAAUACGUAGGUGGCAAGCGUUAUCCGGAUUUACUGGGUGUAAAGGGCGUGUAGGCGGGACUGCAAGUCAGAUGUGAAAACCAUGGGCUCAACCUGUGGCCUGCAUUUGAAACUGUAGUUCUUGAGUACUGGAGAGGCAGACGGAAUUCCUAGUGUAGCGGUGAAAUGCGUAGAUAUUAGGAGGAACACCAGUGGCGAAGGCGGCCUGCUGGACGGUAACUGACGCUGAGGCUCGAAAGCGUGGGGAGCAAACAGGAUUAGAUACCCCAGUAC
rnacentral:rRNA from 1 species